rnacentral:rRNA from 1 species
AUUGAACGCUGGCGGCAUGCCUUACACAUGCAAGUCGAACGGCAGCAUGGGUGCUUGCACCUGAUGGCGAGUGGCGAACGGGUGAGUAAUGCAUCGGAACGUACCCGGAAGUGGGGGAUAACGUAGCGAAAGUUACGCUAAUACCGCAUAUUCUGUGAGCAGGAGAGUGGGGGCUCGCAAGACCUCGCGCUUCCGGAGCGGCCGAUGUCGGAUUAGCUAGUUGGCGGGGUAAAGGACCACCAAGGCAACGAUCCGUAGCGGGUCUGAGAGGAUGAUCCGCCACACUGGGACUGAGACACGGCCCAGACUCCUACGGGAGGCAGCAGUGGGGAAUUUUGGACAAUGGGGGCAACCCUGAUCCAGCCAUGCCGCGUGAGUGAAGAAGGCCUUCGGGUUGUAAAGCUCUUUCGGCCGGGAAAAAAUCGCACAGGUUAAUACCUUGUGUGGAUGACGGUACCGGAAUAAGAAGCACCGGCUAACUACGUGCCAGCCGCCGCAGUAAGAC